rnacentral:rRNA from 1 species
AUGCCUGGAAUGGAGGAUUUGGUCAAAUUGUUCAAUGUAUGGGAAAUUCAGCUGCUUGUGCUCCUCAGUUUCACACUACAAAUUUUCUUGUUCUUUACUGGCAGCCUUCGACGGCAUAGCAGCAGCAUGCUACUAAGACUCUCCAUUUGGGCAGCUUAUCUCGGGGCAGACUUUGUAGCAGUGUAUACCCUUGGCCUGGUCUCACGACUUGGGGAUAUCACCACUAAAGGGGAUAUCACCACUGAAAUGCAUACACCAGGGAAAAUAUCACCACUGGCUUUCUUUUGGGCACCAUUUCUUCUCAUCCAUCUUGCCGGGCAGGACACUAUUACUGCCUUUGCCAUGGAAGACAACAAUUUGUGGCUGAGGCAUUUGCUGAAUCUAGUGGUGCAAGCUGUCCUAGCUAUAUAUGUUUUCUGGAAGUCCAUUGGAAGACACAGCCCGAUGCUUAUAGUGUCCGGUGUCUUUGUGUUUGUUGUUGGAAUUAUCAAGUAUGCAGAAAGAACUUGGUCUCUCAAGAGUGGUUGCUACAAAAGCUUUGAGAGCUCAGGUGGACAUCAUUACAAAAAGUUGCCAGACCAUGAUUGCGUAGAGGACAUGAACAAGGAUGGAUAUGAUGACAUUGUUUACAUAGCUCUCUGGUCAACGCCACGUGCCCAUAAUAUCAUUUCUGGACACAACAUCUUAUCUAUACCGGAUGAUCUCCCCGAUUGGCCAGGGAGAGAUGAAAGCAAAACGAUUAUCAAGAUGGUUGGUAUUAUUCUUAGUGUGAUGUAUGCUGAUCUGUACACUAAGGCUCUCGUGGUCAGAACAAAGAGUGGUAUCAUACUUCGAUGCAUCUCUCAGAUGUCCGCUGUUGUUGCUUUCGGUAUGUUCCUUGCAAGUGACAAACAAAGGUAUAGCAAAACUGACAUUGCAAUCACUUAUUCACUUUUUGGGGGAGGGUUUUUCCUCGAACUCUGUGCGGUGUUUAUUUCCAUGAUGUCACCCUGGACAUGGGCAUGGCUGAAGGUGCGAAAGUGGCAUAAGCUUGCCAUGUUGUCCUGGCUUAUUUUUUCCAGUGACCUUGGAUGGCCGGAGAAGAAGCAGUGUUUUGUAAAGUCAAUGGGACAGUAUAACUUUUCGAGCUGGAUGACCGGCAGUACCCAAGCGAGAACAUUCCGUCAACGAGUGAUGGCCAUGGUCAAAUGGUUUGCGCGUUUGGUCCAUGUUGAAAAGAAGAAAAUAUUUUGGAUGAGCAAGCUGUUAGACACGGAGUACGUGGAUGUGGAUGAGACCACUAUGGAGUGUAUUGCAGAGCAGAUUUGUCUCCUUAGAGAUCAUGAAGGCUCCACUCAGUUUAGCAGCAAAUGGAUAAACUGGUUUGGAAAUAUUCCAGAUUUUGGUAUUGGUAUUGUGGUGUUGCAUUUAAUUACUGAGAAACAUCUGAGUGAAAUACAUGAGGCAAAAAGUGCAGGAGUGGGUAUGAACAUGAUGGAGGUAUGCCGGAAACUAUCGAGAUACCUGAUGUACCUUUUGGCUACCCACCCUUCUAUGCUGCCGCUCAAUGCUAGCCCGGAAGCUAUAUUUCUUAAGGAUCCCGUAGAGCUUGAGGGGAUAGUCCGUGAUGCUCUUGACGUUGUCGUGUCAUCAAACAGGAAUUUAUUAAAGCUGGAGGAGUUAGCUUACGUGUGGGCGAGGCUCCUUAUUUACGCUGCAGGCAAGUCGAGGCCGGAGAGGCACAUGGAACAACUGGGCACAGGAGGGGAGCUCAUCACCUUCGUCUGGAUGCUCAUGUACAUCCAUGGCCUCGGAGAUUCACAAUGGAGGAGGAUUGCACUCGGCAAUGCUGAUGAUCGUGGUAGGAGGAUGGAGGAGGUAUACGCCUUCCCUUCGUGA